GACGAACGCUGGCGGCGUGCUUAACACAUGCAAGUCGAACGGAAAGGCCUGCUUUCCCUUGUGGAUUGCGGGUACUCGAGUGGCGAACGGGUGAGUAACACGUGAGUGAUCUGCCCCCAACUUGGGUAUAAGCCUGGGAAAUUGGGUCUAAUUCCCGACAGGACUGCAGGGUGGUGCCUGUGGUGGAAAACGAUUUUCUAGUGGUUGGGGAUGAGCUCGCGGCCUAUCAGCUUGUUGGUGGGGUAAUGGCCUACCAAGGCGGCGACGGGUAGCCGGCCUGAGAGGGUGGACGGCCACAUUGGGACUGAGAUACGGCCCAGACUCCUACGGGAGGCAGCAGUGGGGAAUAUUGCACAAUGGGCGGAAGCCUGAUGCAGCGACGCCGCGUGGGGGAUGACGGCCUUCGGGUUGUAAACUCCUUUCGACCGCGAGGAAGCCACCUGGUUGGAAGGGUGGUGACGGUAGUGGUAGAAGAAGCACCGGCUAACUACGUG
rnacentral:rRNA from 1 species